rnacentral:rRNA from 1 species
AGCUUAACUGCGGGGUUGCAGGCGAUACGGGCAUAACUUGAGUGCUGUAGGGGAGACUGGAAUUCCUGGUGUAGCGGUGGAAUGCGCAGAUAUCAGGAGGAACACCGAUGGCGAAGGCAGGUCUCUGGGCAGUAACUGACGCUGAGGAGCGAAAGCAUGGGGAGCGAACAGGAUUAGAUACCCUGGUAGUCCAUGCCGUAAACGGUGGGCGCUAGGUGUGAGUCCCUUCCACGGGGUUCGUGCCGUAGCUAACGCAUUAAGCGCCCCGCCUGGGGAGUACGGCCGCAAGGCUAAAACUCAAAGGAAUUGACGGGGGCCCGCACAAGCGGCGGAGCAUGUGGAUUAAUUCGAUGCAACGCGAAGAACCUUACCUGGGCUUGACAUACACUGGAUCGGGCUAGAGAUAGUCUUUCCCUUUGUGGCUGGUGUACAGGUGGUGCAUGGUUGUCGUCAGCUCGUGUCGUGAGAUGUUGGGUUAAGUCCCGCAACGAGCGCAACCCUUGUCUUAUGUUGCCAGCAUUUGGUUGGGGACUCAUGAGAGACUGCCGGGGUGAACUCGGAGGAAGGUGGGGAUGACGUCAAAUCAUCAUGCCCCUUAUGUCCAGGGCUUCACACAUGCUACAAUGGUCGGUACAACGCGUGUGCGAUCCUGUGAGGGUGUGCUAAUCGCUGAAAGCCGGUCGUAGUUCGGAUUG